ACGUAGGGUGCGAGCGUUAAUCGGAAUUACUGGGCGUAAAGCGUGCGCAGGCGGUUUGUUAAGUUCGUCGUGAAAGCCCCGGGCUCAACCUGGGAACUGCGAUGGAAACUGGCAAGCUUGAGUGUGGCAGAGGGGGGUGGAAUUCCGCGUGUAGCAGUGAGAUGCGUAGAGAUCGGGAAGAACACCGAUGGCGAAGGCAGUCGGCUGGGCCGUUGCUGAC
rnacentral:rRNA from 1 species